rnacentral:misc_RNA from 1 species
ACUGUCGAAUUCGAAGACUCAAUGUGCUUGCUGCUGGGUAAUCUUGAUAAAAGAACAAGAGGAUUGUUUCUUGCAUGGUGAGUUAAAGUUUCUCAAGUCUCUGAUGCUAAGGCAAUACUCUUUGUUUGCAUGCCAAAUUGGGAAGUUCAUAUGGUUCUAAUACAAAUCUCAAGAAGUGUGUGCAACUUUGUCUUAGUGUGCAGGCUUUUACUAUUCUUGUGAUACUCAUGGUUUUGUUGAAAUGAACUUUCAGAUGGAAGCACAAAAUCCUCAACAUGCACAAAUUAUUGGAAUAAAUGUUGAUGUUCCUGAUGGGGGGAGCAAUGUUGGGGGCAGUAAGAUAUGUGGGGAAGCACCUUGUGGAUUCUCAGAUGCUGGAGUUAACUCCAAAGAUGCCAAAGAACGAUCUGCUUCCAUGCGCAAGCUCUUGAUAGCAGUGGCACUUUGUGUAGUCUUCAUGAGUGCUGAAGUAGCUGGUGGCAUCAAAGCUAACAGUCUUGCAAUAUUGACCGAUGCUGCACAUUUGCUUUCAGAUGUUGCAGCCUUUGCUAUCUCCUUGUUCUCUUUGUGGGCAGCUGGAUGGGAAGCCACACCCCGUCAGUCCUAUGGAUUUUUUAGGGUUGAGAUCCUUGGUGCAUUGAUUUCCAUACAGCUCAUAUGGUUGCUUGCAGGGAUUUUGGUAUAUGAAGCCAUUGUUAGGCUCAUUCAUGAUACAGGUGAUGUAAAUGGCUUUCUAAUGUUUAUAGUUGCUGCUUUUGGUCUGGUGGUAAAUGUUAUCAUGGCUCUUUUAUUGGGCCAUGAUCAUGGGCAUGGCCAUGAUGGUCACAAUCAUGGGAUUGGCCACAUCCAUGGGGAGAAAAUUACCACUCACCACCACCACCACCAGCAUGAAGAGCACUUGAAAGACAAGCACUGUCAUCACGAGGAGCACUCAAAAGAUGAGCACCAUCCUGUGUCUGAAGAAUAUGUUGUGCCAUUGCUGGAUAAAGGAAAAGGCAAGCAUGGCAAAAUUCAGCGAAACAUAAAUGUACAAGGGGCUUAUCUCCAUGUACUUGGGGAUUCCAUUCAGAGUAUUGGGGUAAUGAUUGGAGGUGGAGUCAUAUGGUAUAAGCCUGAGUGGAAGAUAGUUGAUCUGAUCUGCACUCUAAUUUUUUCUGUUAUAGUUUUAGGUACAACAAUCAAAAUGCUGCGAAGCAUACUUGAAGUUCUGAUGGAGAGUACUCCAAGAGAGAUAGAUGCAACAAAGCUAGAAAAGGGGCUGUUGGAGAUGGAGGAAGUGGUAGCCAUUCACGAGCUGCAUAUAUGGGCCAUCACAGUGGGUAAGGUUCUCUUGGCUUGUCAUGUUAAAAUCAGACCAGAAGCAAAUGCAGACAUGGUUCUGGACAAUGUGAUAAACUACAUCAGAAGGGAGUACAAUAUUAGUCAUGUUACCAUCCAGAUAGAGCGUUAGUGGAGGAAGUGGAUCAUCUCAUUUUAUCUGAAACUUCCAUUUUUCCUAUUAUGUGGGUGCAAAUAUGUUAUCUUUGUAUUGAUUGCUUCAUUUUGUUGAGCUUUCAAAUUGACAUCUCCUGCAUGUUUAUUUAAUAUCUUGAUUUUGCAAUUACAGAAUUCAACUCUUCUGAGUUCCUUGAAUCAUUGCUUUCUCUUCAUGUGAUACAAGUUACCAAAUAAGUGUCACAUGUGCAAACAUUAUUCAUUCUAAAGGAAGAAGUUUUUCGUCAGGCUUGGGAAGGAACUUGCAUCGUCUUCAAUUUGAGACAUCCAUUGUCACUGGGAGUUGGGGUCUACCACUGAUUAUUUUAAGUGAUUGUUUAAUUAAAUAGCAGCUGGGAGCAUGAUGCUGGGAAGUGGGGGCGCUUGUGUCUGUAACUUCCCAUAGAAUCUGCUUUUACUGUGAAAUAAUGGGUGGGAGAUUCAGUAACUUAAAGGUUCUGCAACCCUGUGGGGAGUGGAUAAGGUUAUCUCACUAGUAUUUCCAUCUUAUGGUCUCUACGUGGACCAGAAUUAAUAAGUCAGCUAGAGGACAAGUACAAAUAUCUCCAGUGCAGGGCACAUGAGAAUGGGAAUGCCUCUGGCUGUGUGGCUUAAUCCUAAGGUGUACCAUAGUUUUUUCUUAUAGGUGGAAAAUAGAUGCUUCAGAUCAAAAUGGAUAAGGUUCUUAAACAUUAUCAAAGAAAGUACGUGGUAUGAAUUUUAUUGAAAUGAAUUUGUCGUCUUUGCAAAUUUUGAGUUUCGUAAAUCUGUUGUAUGAAUUUGUUAAAAUCUCCAAGAUGUCUGAGACGUUUGAUUGCUUUUCUUUGAUUUAGAAACGAUAUAUGUUCAUGAACAUGACAUUAUAUCUAAUUCAAAACAUUCACACUAUGCAUCUUAAGGCAAUUAGUUUAUAAACCUGAAAAAGGAUUAUAUUCAUGAGCUUGAAAUUAUAUAUAUAUAUAAUUCAAAAUUUUGUUUAAUUUAAAAUCUCAAAAUAAU